UCCACGCCGUAAACGAUGUCUACUAGUCGUUGGGUCCCUUGAGGACUUAGUGACGCAGCUAACGCAAUAAGUAGACCGCCUGGGGAGUACGGCCGCAAGGUUAAAACUCAAAUGAAUUGACGGGGGCCCGCACAAGCGGUGGAGCAUGUGGUUUAAUUCGAUGCAACGCGAAGAACCUUACCAGGUCUUGACAUCCAGAGAAUUCGCUAGAGAUAGCUUAGUGCCUUCGGGAA
rnacentral:rRNA from 1 species